GAUGAACGCUGGCGGCGUGCCUAAUACAUGCAAGUCGAGCGAACAGGCGAGGAGCUUGCUCCUCUGACGUUAGCGGCGGACGGGUGAGUAACACGUGGAUAACCUACCUAUAAGACUGGGAUAACUUCGGGAAACCGGAGCUAAUACCGGAUAAUAUAUUGAACCGCAUGGUUCAAUAGUGAAAGACGGUUUUGCUGUCACUUAUAGAUGGAUCCGCGCCACAUUAGCUAGUUGGUAAGGUAACGGCUUACCAAGGCGACGAUGCGUAGCCGACCUGAGAGGGUGAUCGGCCACACUGGAACUGAGACACGGUCCAGACUCCUACGGGAGGCAGCAGUAGGGAAUCUUCCGCAAUGGGCGAAAGCCUGACGGAGCAACGCCGCGUGAGUGAUGAAGGUCUUCGGAUCGUAAAACUCUGUUAUUAGGGAAGAACAAAUGUGUAAGUAACUAUGCACGUCUUGACGGUACCUAAUCAGAAAGCCACGGCUAACUACGUG
rnacentral:rRNA from 1 species